CAAUGCGCUCAGUGGAAACACUUUUCCACAAGCUACAUUUGAAAACGAACCAGUUGGAACCACUGCGGCAAAAGCAGGAAUACCUAGUACAUGUACAUAUACACCUUCCAGCAGCUGAUGACUAUCAAACCAACCUCAGUACCAGUUGGUUUUAUUAAAAAAAAAACGGUUGGAGCAGGCCAAUUUCCUAUGUUAUUAAGAGAACCAGCUUAGAGCAACCAUGCAAAAUCCCGAUCCCACAACACUGGAGCCCCUGUGGCGAAAUAACAAGACGGCGAGCGGGACGGGGUUCCGCACAGGAGAUCUGGUGAUGUGUUGUAUGUAUCUAUCUGCACUUGAAGCAAGCUUGCUGGGGAGGUGGGGGUUGGACAUUUUCAUGCCAGGGCGCACGAAUUGGGCGAAAAUGAUGAAAACACGG
rnacentral:sRNA from 1 species